CUGGGCUAUGUGGUGGAAUAUGUGUGCACCCCACCCUGUGAGGGAUAAAUCGGGAGUCAUUAUGAGGGAUGGAGCAUCCUGGAGAAAGGAGACUCCUGUCCAACAUAGGAUAGAGUCUCUGACUCUGAAAGGCCGAGGGAUAGGAAGUAAGCAACGGUGAGCUGCGUGAAUCGAAGCACUUUGUUGAGCGUUGAGGCUUUGAGAAGACAAUCGUUGAGGGUUUGAAUUCCUAGGGGCUGGAGAGUAGCCCUUGAGUCCUUCAUUAAAUGAAGUACAUCGCUGGUCGUGGAGGCAAAGAGUUUGUCAUCGUCGAAGGGAAGAUCUUCAAUGGUACUCUGGACCUCUUGAAGAAAGGAAGAGGAGGAGAACCAUGAACCUCAGCG